rnacentral:misc_RNA from 1 species
GUAUUUAUUAUAUAAUUAGAUAUUUCAGACAAAAAACAUUUAGACAUGUUUAAACGUAAUAAAAUUGGCAGGCCGAGUAGACCAAUCUGUCUCAACCCACAGCUCUCCAAAAGAAAAGCUUAACCUGCCAACAAACACUUCAAUGAUUCACACAAGGUGGAUAUGGAUAAAUUAUCCAAUAUUGUGGACAAUUGUUAAUGAUCCUUCCGCAGGUUCACCUACGGAAA